rnacentral:siRNA from 1 species
AGCAUUGAGAACCAAGAAGAAAUU